UCUCUCCAUUGGCCUCCCUGUUU
rnacentral:miRNA from 1 species